AUUGAACGCUGGCGGAAUGCUUUACACAUGCAAGUCGAACGGCAGCACGGGGCAACCUGGUGGCGAGUGGCGAACGGGUGAGUAAUACAUCGGAACGUGCCCAAUCGUGGGGGAUAACGUAGCGAAAGUUACGCUAAUACCGCAUACGAUCUACGGAUGAAAGCGGGGGAUCGCAAGACCUCGCGCGAUUGGAGCGGCCGAUGUCAGAUUAGGUAGUUGGUGGGGUAAAGGCUCACCAAGCCGACGAUCUGUAGCUGGUCUGAGAGGACGACCAGCCACACUGGGACUGAGACACGGCCCAGACUCCUACGGGAGGCAGCAGUGGGGAAUUUUGGACAAUGGGCGCAAGCCUGAUCCAGCCAUUCCGCGUGCAGGAUGAAGGCCUUCGGUUGUAACUAGCUUUGUUACGGAACGAAACGGGUUACUCUCUAAUACAGGGGCGUAAUGACGGUACCGUAAGAAUAAGCACGGCUAACUACGUGCC
rnacentral:rRNA from 1 species